CAAAGAUGGAUCUGCACAUCUCACUUUUUCUUCUGUGUAUUCUUUUCACUGCAGGACACUCUCUCAACUGUUAUGACUGCACAAGUCUGACGGGAUCUUGUACCCAGACAAGUCAGUGUUCCAUUUGGUUACCCAACUGCUUGAGCGCAGCAGUUACUGUCAACAGUACUACAGUGACGUAUAGAAGUUGUGCUCCAUCUGUCUGUCCAAGUGGAUCCAUCAACCUCGGCAUUGGAAGAGGCUCUGCUAAGUGCUGUAACACUGCUCUCUGUAACAACCAAGAUGCUCCAGAUCCCACUAGUGCUCCCAAUGGAAAGAAAUGUUACUAUUGUGAUGGGAAUACCUGCUCAAACACAGUGAGCUGUUCAGGGACUGAAGACCGCUGCUUUAAUACAACAGUCCAGUCACAGGUUAUAAAAGGCUGUGUCUCUAAAUCUCUUUGUGAUGUCCCACAACUGCUUGGUUCGGGAAGUUUCUCGUGUUGUGAGGGGAACCUGUGUAACAGUGCUAAUGGUGUCACUCAGAGCUUCCUGUUCCUCUGCUGUUCUCUGCUCUCCUUCAUCCUGCUGCACUGAAUCCAGCAGAUCUUCACAUUCUGCAGCUGCAGAAAAUAUUUUUAUAGAGGACAUCAGAUUCCCAAGUUAGUAUGAUUAUUCAGGGUCUUUUAGGGUCUGUCUGGAGAAAAUGAAGACUAUGCCAGUUUCACACUGCAAGCCUGAGCUUCGUGUCAGUACUACAUUGUUUUCAGUGGUUGUGUCCACACACUGCUAAGAUACAUUUAUAUGAAUUUUGCAUCUGAUGUCCCUUUAAUAUGUAUUUAAACUCUUAAGGUGAAGAGGGAAAAGGUGAUAAAUCUGUAACUCAAGGCUACUUGAGCCUCAUGUUAUGAUGGGUUGUUGGUACACAGUGUCUUCAGUCAUUUUUUCAUUGUGCUCCACACACAUAUAUUU